AGACAGCAGUCGCCGCGGGAAUACGAAGGGUGCAAGCGUUGCUCGGAAUUAUUGGGCGUAAAGGGUAGGUAGGUGGUGACAUUUGUCUGGGGUGAAAUCCCUGAGCUUAACUCAGGAAGUGCCUUGGAAACGGUGUCACUAGAGUACUGGAGAGGUUCGCAGAAUUCUUGGUGUAGCGGUGAAAUGCGUAGAGAUCAAGAGGAAUACCAGAGGCGAAGGCGGCGAACUGGACAGUAACUGACGCUAAACUACGAAAGCGUGGGGAGCAAACAGGAUUAGAUACCCCAGUAGUCCCUGUCUCUUAUAC
rnacentral:rRNA from 1 species